GCGUGUAGCUCAACGGGGAGAGCAUGGCAUUAACACUGCUAAGGUUAGGGGUUCGAUUCCCACUAUGCACACA